CAGCAGCCGCGGUAAUACGGAGGGUGCGAGCGUUAAUCGGAAUUACUGGGCGUAAAGCGUGCGCAGGCGGUUUGUUAAGCGAGAUGUGAAAGCCCCGGGCUCAACCUGGGAACCGCAUUUCGAACUGGCAAACUAGAGUCUUGUAGAGGGGGGUAGAAUUCCAGGUGUAGCGGUGAAAUGCGUAGAGAUCUGGAGGAAUACCGGUGGCGAAGGCGGCCCCCUGGACAAAGACUGACGCUCAGGCACGAAAGCGUGGGGAGCAAACAGG
rnacentral:rRNA from 1 species